rnacentral:rRNA from 1 species
UACGAAGGGGGCUAGCGUUGCUCGGAAUCACUGGGCGUAAAGCGCACGUAGGCGGAUUCCUAAGUCGGGGGUGAAAUCCUGGAGCUCAACUCCAGAACUGCCUUCGAUACUGGGAAUCUUGAGUCCGGAAGAGGUGAGUGGAACUGCGAGUGUAGAGGUGAAAUUCGUAGAUAUUCGCAAGAACACCAGUGGCGAAGGCGGCUCACUGGAUCGGUACUGACGCUGAGGUGCGAAAGCGUGGGGAGCAAACAGG